rnacentral:rRNA from 1 species
CACGUAGGGUGCGAGCGUUGUCCGGAAUUAUUGGGCGUAAAGAGCUCGUAGGCGGUCUGUCGCGUCGGCUGUGAAAACCCGAGGCUCAACCUCGGGCCUGCAGUCGAUACGGGCAGACUAGAGUGCUGUAGGGGAGACUGGAAUUCCUGGUGUAGCGGUGAAAUGCGCAGAUAUCAGGAGGAACACCGGUGGCGAAGGCGGGUCUCUGGGCAGUAACUGACGCUGAGGAGCGAAAGCGUGGGGAGCAAACAGG